UCCUGGAAAUUAAUUAUGUGGACAAAUUGAUCCGGACGUUACAAACGUUUGGACGAAUUGGUCCUUCCGUCCGAAAACAGGAGAGGUCCCUGACCUCUCACGGCCGAAUUUGUCGUCCCUUACUGUCAACCCCCAACCCCCCUCCCCCUGCAAUUUCCUUUCCGCCCCAAUUGCCCCCGAUUGGAGCUUCUCUGCCUUCUUCCCCUAAAAUUCGAUCAAACCCUGAUCUUCAAAUUGUGGACAAAGCUUGAAAUUCGAUAAAACUUCCUUCUGCAAGUGAUAGUGUCGUCGGUAAUUGCCCCUGAUUGGAGCUUCUCUGCCUUCCGAUAAACCCUAAUUGAACCACCCGCUUCUACGCCAAUCUUCCAAUUCGACCAAAUGCCUCAACAUUUCUACAAUUUAGACUGUCGACUGUGAUCUUUCGAAGUCGCGAACGUUAUUGUUGGUCGUUUUCCGACGAGAAUCACUUGGGUCGAACCGCUGCGGGGGGGAACCGAAGUCGUCCAAUGCGUUGCCUGAAUGAGGACCAGCUUCAACCAUCUGCAGCGAGAACAAAUAGACAGACACAUCCCAAAGCUUCAACUAAGCUUCAGAUCUCAGCACAACAGAUAUGGGAGGUGAGGGAAGUCAAUGGAGUGGGACAAAGCAAUAUGUCCAAAAGUCUACAGCCUCGUCACGAGUUGAGGAAUCAGACAAUCUCUUUGGGUAUGGAAUGAAGCUUCUGUUGCAAACAUCUACCAGGAAACAAAGUUAUGGUAGACGUUUCCUUGGUUGUCCUUUAUGGAAGAGAAGUGAUCUUACAUGUGGAUACUUUGAAUGGGUUGAUAAUGAGGAGCUGAUUGAAGUGCAGCAGACUACAAGACCUCGGAUUGGAGCUUCUUUUACAUCCCCCGAGAUUAUGGGUUUAAAUGGAGAAGAUAACAAGCUCAUGAAAAAGAUGAAGAAGAAAAUUCAAAUGCAUAAACAGGAGAACAGAAUGCUGAAGAUUGUAUGCAGUAUAUUGAUUUUCGUGCUUGUUUUAGUCUUAGUUUGUAUUUGUCUUAGGAUAUGGUAAUGUGUUUCCUCGUGUGAAUGUGAUACUAUAGGCUUGUGAGAUUCUAAUUUGUAUUGAGAUGACUGUUAUUGCUAAUAUAAUUCAAUGUUUGGCUUU